rnacentral:rRNA from 1 species
UACGAAGGGGGCUAGCGUUGCUCGGAAUGACUGGGCGUAAAGGGCGCGUAGGCGGCGGAUCAAGUCAGGCGUGAAAGCCCCGGGCUCAACCUGGGAACGGCGCUUGGGACUGGUCUGCUCGAGUUCGGGAGAGGAGCGUGGAAUUCCCAGUGUAGAGGUGAAAUUCGUAGAUAUUGGGAAGAACACCGGUGGCGAAGGCGGCGCUCUGGACCGAGACUGACGCUGAGGCGCGAAAGCGUGGGGAGCAAACAGG